rnacentral:rRNA from 1 species
CUUUCCUUGAUGACGACUGGCGCACGGGUGAGUAACGCGUAUCCAACCUUCCCAUAACUACGGGAUAACCCGUUGAAAGACGGCCUAAUACCGUAUGACAUCGUUUGCUGACAUCAAAUAACGAUUAAAGGUUUAGCGGUUAUGGAUGGGGAUGCGUCUGAUUAGCUUGUUGGCGGGGUAACGGCCCACCAAGGCGACGAUCAGUAGGGGUUCUGAGAGGAAGGUCCCCCACAUUGGAACUGAGACACGGUCCAAACUCCUACGGGAGGCAGCAGAA